rnacentral:rRNA from 1 species
GAUGAACGCUGGCGGCGUGCCUAAUACAUGCAAGUCGAGCGAACGGACGAGAAGCUUGCUUCUCUGAUGUUAGCGGCGGACGGGUGAGUAACACGUGGAUAACCUACCUAUAAGACUGGGAUAACUUCGGGAAACCGGAGCUAAUACCGGAUGAUAUUUUGAACCGCAUGGUUCAAAAGUGAAAGACGGUCUUGCUGUCACUUAUAGAUGGAUCCGCGCUGCAUUAGCUAGUUGGUAAGGUAACGGCUUACCAAGGCAACGAUGCAUAGCCGACCUGAGAGGGUGAUCGGCCACACUGGAACUGAGACACGGCCCAGACUCCUACGGGAGGCAGCAGUAGGGAAUCUUCCGCAAAGGGCGAAAGCCUGACGGAGCAACGCCGCGUGAGUGAUGAAGGUCUUCGGAUCGUAAAACUCUGUUAUUAGGGAAGAACAUAUGUGUAAGUAACUGUGCACAUCUUGACGGUACCUAAUCAGAAAGCCACGGCUAACUACGUG